AACCAUUCUCACCUGCGGCUAGACCUGCGGAAGGAUCAUUACCGAGUGCGGGCCCUCUGGGUCCAACCUCCCACCCGUGUUUAUUAUACCUUGUUGCUUCGGCGGGCCCGCCAGCCCUGGCCGCCGGGGGCUUCCGCCCCGGGCCCGCGCCCGCCGAGGACACCAUCGAACGCUGUCUUGAAGUAUGCAGUCUGAGUGGGUUAUAAAAUUAGUUAAAACUUUUAACAACGGAUCUCAGAU
rnacentral:misc_RNA from 1 species